GACGAACGCUGGCGGCGCGCCUAACACAUGCAAGUCGAACGAGCGAGAGAGAGCUUGCUUUCUCGAGCGAGUGGCGAACGGGUGAGUAACGCGUGAGGAACCUGCCUCAAAGAGGGGGACAACAGUUGGAAACGACUGCUAAUACCGCAUAAGCCCACAGGUCGGCAUCGACCAGAGGGAAAAGGAGCAAUCCGCUUUGAGAUGGCCUCGCGUCCGAUUAGCUAGUUGGUGAGGUAACGGCCCACCAAGGCGACGAUGGGUAGCCGGACUGAGAGGUUGACCGGCCACAUUGGGACUGAGAUACGGCCCAG
rnacentral:rRNA from 1 species